rnacentral:tRNA from 1 species
GCCGAUGUAGCUCAGUUGGCUAGAGCGCCGCUUUCGUAAAGCGGAGGUCGCGGGUUCGAUUCCCACCAUCGGCUCCA